rnacentral:rRNA from 1 species
CCUACGGGAGGCAGCAGUGGGGAAUUUUCCGCAAUGGGCGAAAGCCUGACGGAGCAAUACCGCGUGAGGGAAGACGGCCUAUUGGUUGUAAACCUCUUUUUUCAGGGAGGAAUUUUGACGUGUACCUGAAGAAUAAGCAUCGGCUAACUCCGUGCCAACAACCGCGGUAAU